GACUACCGGGGUAUCUAAGCCCGUUCGCUACCCUAGCCUUCGCCUCUCAGCGUCAGGUGCAGACCAGAAAGCCGCCUUCGCCACUGGUGUUCUUCCUGAUAUCUGAGCAUUCCACCGCUACAUCAGGAGUUCCGCUUUCCUCUUCUGCCCUCUAGUUGCCUAGUUUUGAACGACCUCUCCUAGUUGAGCCAGGAGAUGUCACGCCCAACUUUGACAACCGCCUACUUGCCCUUUACGCCCAAUGAAUCCGGAUAACGCUCGCCUCCUACGUCUUACCGCGGCUGCUGGCACGUAGUUAGCCGAGACUUGUUCCUAGGGUACUGUCCUUCCUCUUCCCCUAGAAAAGGGUUUUACGACUCGAAAGCCUUCUUCACCCACGCGGCGUUGCUGCAUCAGGGUUUCCCCCAUUGUGCAAUAUCCCUUACUGCAGCCUCCCGUAGG
rnacentral:rRNA from 1 species